CUCCUUGGGAGGGCAAGGCCGGUGCCGACCCGCUGCCUGGCUCUCCCCCCGCCGUCGAUGCAGCCCCGGCCUCCCCCACUUGAGACCCCGACUCGGAGGAAGGGAUCCGACGUCCCGGUGGCUUGAGCACGUGCAAAGUAAACUGAAGGUGGUCCCCUUCCCAAUCACUCAAGACGAGGAUGAAGAAGUCUUGUCCAGCCCCAUCAGAAGCUCACCACUCUGGCUGGAUCCUGCCCUGCCCACCAGAAUAUGGCCAGAAGGGCUCUGGAAGGUUCUUUGAAGUUGCCUGAAAUCAGGAGGUCAGAGGGCUCCGUCUGUCCAUCUGGUAGAGAAAUGAGCCACACUAGGGAUCGGAGGAGAGCCGGAGAAGAGCCGUGCCCUUGCUGUCAAGAACAUUCCUCGCUAACCUAGGAGCUUCCUUUGUUAUUUAAGGUAUUCAAGGUAUGUGCAGGAGGAAAGCAAUGCCAAGUGACUGGGUUUCGUGGGUUGGAGCCUUAGAUGUGACACUUCUGGUUUAUCAACUGGCCGGUGAAGUAACUCCUUAGCUGCUGCUGAGAAGAGCCCAUCAGAGAGAGUUGCACAGUCACAUUUGACAACAAAACAAGCCCUUUCCUGGUUCCCAUGAAGCACAGACCCGAAACCGACAAGCUUCACACUUUCUAUAUGCUCAGUCACAGGAAAUCAUGCCAGUGUUGAAAGUCUUCUGGCCUAGCACAUUGUGUGACUGCAGGCUCCAGACUUGUCAAGUGUGAAUCCAGCCCCUGAGUGAACAGACUACAGAACAAGAGAGUUGGAAGGGACCUUGGAAGUUUUCUAGCCCACCCCACUGCUCAAGCAGGAACCCCUAUAUCCGCGAUGGCGAAUCAUGUUUCAAUAUUUUUGUUUCUGAAGAAGGAUGGUUGUUUUAAAAUCCAGGAAAGCCAGUUUAAUAAACGUCAUGCUUGAAGACUCAUA